GUCGUCGCGAGGCGGGGUCUGAAGGAAGCGUGUAGCAAAGCCUCGACCUGACGAACAGAAAUCGGAUGUAAGGCCUACCCAGGCGGACGAGCGAGCAAUGGAUCGCGAAGU
rfam:Candidatus Burkholderia crenata strain TZHbot9 BCREchr_ctg159, whole genome shotgun sequence.